UGAUCUUAAAUUUCCAUAAUUAUCAAUUAAUAUUUGUAAUAAUGUAGGUAGUACAUGCAAAGGAUUGUUACCUCUUACCAGUAUUUCCAUUACAAAAAGUACAUUUAGGCAAGCAAUUAUUAUUAAAGCAAACAAUUAUUAUGAUUCAUCCUAUAUUGUCCCUAACAUCUUUAAUUCCCUAGCAGGGGGAAGAUUGACCACUGAGAACACACACACACACACACACACACACACACACACACACACACACACACACACACACACACACACACACAACCACUUUCCCCCACUAACAACCAUAAACUCAGAUGCUCAACAGUUGUUCCAUAUGGAGUGACAUGAGUAGCUAAUAUUUAUAAACUGGAUUCUGUAAAGAGAUGAAAACAUGAUAAAUUGUAUGUGCUAUUCAGUACUAUAAUUUUGAGUCUGUAUAAUAGAUUUGAUAAAGUAAUAAUAAUAUAAAACUAUAGCUGUGUUCGAAUACUCACACUGACCAUACUAACCACACUAACCGUACUAUUUGUGACGUGAAUUGAGUAUAUAGGAUGCUAAUUGGUCAUACAAUGGAUAUAGUUAGUUUGCCAAAAGUUCCCGGAUGUUGAACAAAAUUCACCAAAAUACGAAGUAUGCAUGCAGUGGACACUUGUUUCGUCCUUUUAGGGCCCAUAAUGCAAUUCUUAAGAAAUGGGCGUGGCUUCACAACGUUUUCAGAUUUGAAGAAAAUGUAGGAAAAUAUUUUUUAUUUUACCUUUAUUUAAAUAUGCAGCCGGUGAGAGUGGAUACAAAUUCAUUGCUUUAACUAAUUUUCACAAAUGUUAACAAAAUGUUGAGCAAUGUAAUAAAGAAAUUACUUUUCAAAUAAGUUACAAUGCACGUUAUGUUGGCUGACAGUUUGCUAGCUACGCUAUCCUUACUAUCCGCAUAGCAUUACAUCAAUAUGUGCCGGUGGGUUAGCUAGUUACCUAACGUUAGUCGUCUACUAAUACAUCGAACUUAUCAGGCAGUAUAUAACAUUUCUGCUAUCUAACAAACUACCCAACAUUUAUUGACUUGAUUAUUCACAUCAUUCUUAGCUAAGUGGUAUAGUUGUUGUGGUUUCAAUGGACAUUGUUCAUUCUGGCUAUCUACUCCCGUUUCAGAGCAUUCUCACGCAGAAUAACUGAUGAAUUUACGAACGCUCAACACCCGUUGAAUAUGGCCGGUGUCAGUAAACGUCGGCAAAACAAAGCGUAAUUAAAUUGUUGCCAGCAGCACAGUUACCAGCGCUCUGGAUAAAAAGGAAACAGCCUAACCAGCUCUGAUAGGGUGUCGCCCAUCUUCCCCAUUAUCCCCUGGGUACUUAUACCUGUGUUCUCUGUUUGUCUGUUGCCAGUUCGUCUUGUAUGUCAAGUCAACCAGCGUUUUUGUCUCAGCUCCUGCUUUUCCCCAGUCUCUCUCUUCCUCGCCCUCCUGGUUUUGACCCUUGCCUGUCCUGACCCUGAGCCCACCUGCCUGGCCCUGAGCCUGCCUGCCUGACCACUCUGCCUGGCCCUGAGCCCGCCUGCCUGACCACUCUGCCUGGCCCUGAGCCUGCCUGCCAUCCUGUACCUCUGCCCCUACUCUGGAUUACCGACCUCUGCCUGUCCUGACCCUGAGCCUGCCUGCCAUCCUGUACCUUUGCCCCACUACUAUGGAUUAUUGACCCCUCCCUGCCUUGAUCUGUCAUUUGCCCGCCCCUGUUGCUGUAAUACACAUUGUUACGUCAACACAGUCUGGGUCUUACCUGAAACGUGAUAGAAUGGUAAUAUGUUGUUAGUGGGUUUUUGAAUAGCACUCUGAUAAUGCCAUAUUUUAGUGAAUUGAAGAAGCUGGGGUUUCAAUACAAGGUUAAAUAAUGAAUAGGUUUGAGCUUUCAGACUGACAAAAUAGAUAAGCUGCUAGUGACAGGAAGUAGUACUCACUGAACUCAAACAGACUGUAAGGGACAAAAUGGGACAUUUGGAGCAGAGGUAUAAACAGCUGAAUGGGAGGUAAUGUCAUCUAUAACAAUCAUCUGUUUCCAUUACAUGGAACAGUGUUUAAAAUAAAGUUAGUCCAAGUAAUGUUUUAUUAUUGAAUAUUAAGCUGAUAAGACAGAACCAACUUGUUGAAGGAUCUAAUAGAUGUGAUAAACAGGGUUUAUAUUUAGACUAAAUCAAUGAUAAGACAGAACCAACUUGUUGAAGGAUCUAAUAGAUGUGUUAAACAGGGUUUAUAUUUAGACUAAAUCAAUGAUAAGACAGAACCAACUUGUUGAAGGAUCUAAUAGAUGUGUUAAACAGGGUUUAUAUUUAGACUAAAUCAAUGAUAAGACAGAACCAACUUGUUGAAGGAUCUAAUAGAUGUGAUAAACAACAGGGUUUAUAUUUAGACUAAAUCAAUGAUAAGACAGAACCAACUUGUUGAAGGAUCUAAUAGAUGUGAUAAACAACAGGGUUUAUAUUUAGACUAAAUCAAUGAUAAGACAGAACCAACUUGUUGAAGGAUCUAAUAGAUGUGUUAAACAGGGUUUAUAUUUAGACUAAAUCAAUGAUAAGACAGAACCAACUUGUUGAAGGAUCUAAUAGAUGUGUUAAACUACAGGGUUUAUAUUUAGACUAAAUCAAUGAUAAGACAGAACCAACUUGUUGAAGGAUCUAAUAGAUGUGUUAAACAGGGUUUAUAUUUAGACUAAAUCAAUGAUAAGACAGAACCAACUUGUUGAAGGAUCUAAUAGAUGUGUUAAACAGGGUUUAUAUUUAGACUAAAUCAAUGAUAAGACAGAACCAACUUGUUGAAGGAUCUAAUAGAUGUGUUAAACAGGGUUUAUAUUUAGACUAAAUCAAUGAUAAGACAGAACCAACUUGUUGAAGGAUCUAAUAGAUGUGUUAAACAGGGUUUAUAUUUAGACUAAAUCAAUGAUAAGACAGAACCAACUUGUUGAAGGAUCUAAUAGAUGUGAUAAACAACAGGGUUUAUAUUUAGACUAAAUCAAUGAUAAGACAGAACCAACUUGUUGAAGGAUCUAAUAGAUGUGUUAAACAGGGUUUAUAUUUAGACUAAAUCAAUGAUAAGACAGAACCAACUUGUUGAAGGAUCUAAUAGAUGUGAUAAACAACAGGGUUUAUAUUUAGACUAAAUCAAUGAUAAGACAGAACCAACUUGUUGAAGGAUCUAAUAGAUGUGAUAAACAACAGGGUUUAUAUUUAGACUAAAUCAAUGAUAAGACAGAACCAACUUGUUGAAGGAUCUAAUAGAUGUGAUAAACUACAGGGUUUAUAUUUAGACUAAAUCAAUGCAACAUGUUGAAAAUAGGGCUCUGGGAUUGUUUUAUUUUCUGAGUUUUAAUUGACACUUAAAUUAUUUUGAAGAGAAAUGUACUGAAAAAAAAUAUGUAAACCUGCUAUACAAAAUGUAUGAAAUGUUUUAAAUGUUUUAAAAUAAUUAGUCUGAGGUCGGGGGAAAGGAAAAGGAAAGAAACAGUAAUUUAAAGGGGUUGAAUGACCUCUGACCUGACUUUAUAGUGUGGUUUGAUACAAUUAUUUCAUUAUGGAGUUAUUAAAGGUAGUAAUUCUAA